AACGAACGCUGGCGGCAGGCCUAACACAUGCAAGUCGAGCGAGGACUUCGGUCCUAGCGGCGGACGGGUGAGUAACGCGUGGGAACGUGCCCUUUGCUACGGAAUAGCCCCGGGAAACUGGGAGUAAUACCGUAUGUGCCCGAGAGGGGAAAGAUUUAUCGGCAAAGGAUCGGCCCGCGUUGGAUUAGGUAGUUGGUGGGGUAAUGGCCUACCAAGGCGACGAUCAGUAGCUGGUCUGAGAGGAUGAUCAGCCACACUGGGACUGAGACACGGCCCAGACUCCUACGGGAGGCAGCAGUGGGGAAUAUUGGACAAUGGGCGCAAGCCUGAUCCAGCCAUGCCGCGUGAGUGAUGAAGGCCUUAGGGUUGUAAAGCUCUUUCGUUGGGGAAGAUAAUGACGGUACCCAAAGAAGAAGCCCCGGCUAACUUCGUGCCAGCAGCCGCAGUAAAAC
rnacentral:rRNA from 1 species